rnacentral:rRNA from 1 species
UGGGGAAUUUUGCGCAAUGGGCGAAAGCCUGACGCAGCAACGCCGCGUGUGUGAUGAAGGUUUUCGGAUCGUAAAGCACUUUCGACCGGGAAGAAAACGGGUUGGCUAAUAUCCAAUCUCUUGACGGUACCGGGAGAAGAAGCACCGGCUAACUCUGUGCCAGCAGCCGCGGUAAUACAGAGGGUGCAAGCGUUGUUCGGAAUUAUUGGGCGUAAAGCGCGUGUAGGCGGCUUUGCAAGUCGGGUGUGAAAGCCCUCGGCUCAACCGAGGAAGUGCGCCCGAAACUGCAGAGCUUGAGUACCGGAGAGGGUGGCGGAAUUCCCCAAGUAGAGGUGAAAUUCGUAGAUAUGGGGAGGAACACCGGUGGCGAAGGCGGCCACCUGGACGGAUACUGACGCUGAGACGCGAAAGCGUGGGGAGCAAAC